rnacentral:misc_RNA from 1 species
AAGUCGUAACAAGGUUUCCGUAGGUGGUACGCCUACGGCCUUGGGCCGCGACUUGGUAAAUAAUGGCGCAGUCUGCUAGCAGGUACAGUUUACCUGUAACCUGCUAGCAGGCAACACCUCUACUGUGCUAGGAACCCUCACCGGCUACUAGCAACUCGAAAUCGAGUUCACAGGUCAAAUAGAGGUGGCCCUUAAGGGGUUGAGAUAUGAUCGGACUAAGUUGUAACCAACCAUGGAGAAUUGGAACCUGCGGAAGGAUCAUUACAGAGUAACUGGCGUGGGUAAAACCUGCCAACUCUC